rnacentral:tRNA from 1 species
ACUUAAAUAGUUUAUUUAAAACAGUAAUUUGUGGAAUUACAGAUGUAAUUAGUACUUUAGGUU